CCCCGUCAGGGCUCAGGGUAGCGCACGUGGAGGUGUAACGGGGGACCCCCCGGAGCCCGUUACCGCUGGGGCCGGCCUCGACUGCUGAGGUGGGGGCGCAGCCGGCGGCGGCGCCCCGGCACGGUGCUUCCCGUCCGAAGGGGAUGCGGCUGCCGCGCGCCAGGCCCGCGGCCGUUGGGGCGUUCCAAACAGUCGGCUCGUGCCGCGGCAGCAGCUCACCUCAGGGCCGGGAGCUCUUGCUCUGAGAGGUUUUUGCCCGGGUCUAUAAAGCCUGAAGGAAAUCACUUCAAAUUAUGGUGUGAGCAGAGAGAAUUAAGAUACUUUUUUUAAAAAACACAAAUUACAUGGAUGUUAUGAUAGAAGACAACCGACCAACUUUCAACUGCUUAUGUGGAAAGAAAUGAAGCAGUCAUCUUCACAGAUGGAUCGGUUUAACAGCCAAACUUCAGUUGUUACCUGAUAUUUUAAGACUAUGGUAGCUAAAUAGUUCAUCUCUACCAAAAGGGCCUGAAGAACUAUGUGACAAGAACUCCAUGUUGGUGGGUAAAAAUGAACAACACAGAAGGAAAACAAUAAAACCACUACAUUCAAACAACAUGCAGGACGAGACUGCUUCCACUAUGCACAUACCAGAGAAUCUGAAAGCAGAAGCCUGCAGUUGUAAAGUGAUUAAUCUGUAACAAGUACCACCAGAAACAAACAAAAAAACCCAACUGAACUCAAGCUGUUAGUCAUCGUAAGAAAAAAGGACUUCCAAGGAAUGGCCAGAGUAGGUCACUCAUAGCUGGAUGCUGAUGCUCAAAACUGUCUGAUUAACAGCUCAUAUAAAAACUCCAUUAAGGAUGAAUUCAGAAGGAGACCGAGCAGUGAAGUCUUAGGUUUUUCUAUGGGGAAAGACUUGCAGGGUCAUACAUAAAUAAUCAAGUUCUCAUAGAAGACAGUAAAGUGAACUCCAGGAACUGCAGUAAAAAUGGGAGUACUGCACAUCAACGUGCCAAAGGGUAGGUUUUUCCUGAUAUUGUGAUCAACUGGAAACUGGUCGAGGUGGUUUGCUUUUGUUUUCUGCCUCUUUUCCACGAAUGGCAGCCACAUAAGAGAAGAGACACAGCACGGAGUAGCAGAUCUCAUGAGCCUACAAGAAUUUAGAAAAGGAGAUAAUGAAAUUCAGAUGAUUCAGUUGUUUUAAAAAAAUCCACUGCACAUUUUGUAUUUUGCUGCAUGUCUUCCUUCAUGGGACAACUACUCUGGCUACAGACAAAAAUCAGGAAAAAGUGUCCCAUGCUACCUUCUAACUGAGAUGGAUAGAGAAGAAAAGCCUUACAACAAAUAAAAAACCUCCUUUGGGAUAAAAACAUUAGUUGCUUGAUAGUAGAAUUCUAAUAAUUUUUAGGAACAGUAGGCUAAGCUAGAAAGCUGGCCAGCUGGCUUUAGAAGAAACAUCCUACGUAUCUGCUCUGUUGUAUGAAGCUACAAGAAAUUUUCUGGGAUGGAUUGAAAGAGCUAACUAAAAAGACUAAAACUAAACAUCCGAUAAUGUACCUUGACUCAUGAGAUGGUAGGAUUCUUCCUUAUUCACAACUAUCUUUUUCUGCUCAAAAUUACAAGGACUGGUAAUCCUUGUAAUUUUUAACCAACACUAGAGAAUCUAUGGAUAAUUCAAGCUUUUUUUCAAAUUAAAAAAUCCCCACAAUCCAACAUUGCAUGUUUCAUAUGAAGAAUACCAAGCAAUUUUUUGCCACUACCUUAAAGCGUGGCAUUAGCAAGAUUUAUAAUUACUGCUUUCAAGUGAUUAAGUGUGCUAUUAUUUAACAGAAAAUUCUCUUUUAGCAUGUGACUGGCAGCACAAUUCAGUGACUUAGUUUACAUCCUAGUUCUAAUACUGGCUAUUCUGGUGACCUUAAAAGUUCUUGUCCUGUAAAUUGACAUUUAUAAUCUUUGUAAAGGUAAUAACAACAUGUUUUGUUCUAUUAUGGUACAAGCUAAAACACUUGUGUAAAAUAUAAUUAAUUUUCAUUAAACUGGAUUUUCUUAUUAAAA